GUUAAACAUUAUGAAUCAGGUGGUGGGAGACGUUUGUGGUCUGCAAGUGCUUCUGACAAUAUUUAAAUAAGGAAGGCCCUCUACGAGACUAUUACAAAUAUUAAAGAAAAUUUUAAGUGAUAUAUUUUAUUUCCACAACCUAAAAGAGAUUUCUUAAGGAGACAGGGAACGGCAUGAAACGUACAAUUUUAGAGCAGGCUGUGACUUUCUAAGGGCGCAAAGGUUUUGUGAACUUCAAUUGUUCCCAUCAAUUUUCAAAUAAGGUGAUUCCUGUACGAGACUACUUUCACAACCUGAGGAAGAUUUCAUAACAAGACAAGAAAAAAACAUGAAAGGUAAUAAUUAUUCAGUCUUUUGAAAUUGAAAAUUGAUUCUGAUUCGGUGAUUUUAAUUCUUUAUAGAAAAGACCAGUGCGACUCUACCGUCAAACCAUUUCUGGAAAAUGUUAAGUGAAACAGUUUGCAUCCACAUCAUAAUAGAAAUUUGAUAAGGAAGGGCUGUAAAUAAGUAGGUCCAGAACGAGCCUAGUUAACUGGGCAACUGGCAACGCAAUGUAAGUUUUUGAACAAAUUACUUUCGGGUUCGUCGACGCCGGUUGCAGUGUUGUGUUAGUGUUUUAUUAGUGAAGAAUUUGUGAAGUAUAAGUUAAGUAUAUAUUUCAAUUUAAGAAGUUAUUUUACAAUUUCAAAAUUAAUUCAGGUUUUUAAGAUGUUUCAGCAAUUUGCUUCCAUAACACAAUGGGGAUUCGAUAGGAAAACGCAGAGAGGACCUUAAAGGGAGGUCCUGUACGAGACUACUACUAACUUAAAGAAAAUGUUAGAAGAAACAUUUCACUUUCACAACCUGGAGAUUUGAUAAGGAGAUAGGGAAAAACCAUGAAAGGUAAUUAUUAUUCACUUUUUGUAAUUGAAGACUGACUCUAAUUCAAUGUUUUUAAUUAUUUCCAAGGAGAUCCAGUACGGUACUACCACUAAACACAUCCUUAGAAAAUGUUAAGUGAACCAGUUUGCAUCCACAACCUAAUGGAGAUUUGAUAAGGAAAUAAGGAAGGGCUGUAAAUAGGUAGGUCCAGAACGAGCCUAGUUAACCCGGCAACUGGCAACGCAAUGUAAGUUUUUGAACAAAUUACUUUCGGGAUCGUCGACGCCGGUUGCAGUGUUGUGUUAGUGUAUUUUUAGUGAAGAAUUUGUGAAGUAUAAGUUAAGUAUAUAUUUCAAUUUAAGAAGUUAUUUUACAAAUUUAAAAUUAAUUCAGGUUUUUAAGAUGUUUCA